UUUUUAAUCAGUGAAGUUUUUUAAUCAAUGAAUAUCAAUUUCGCUAAUUAUUUGUGUUAGUUCUAAUUUCCUUAAUUUCUGUUGAGAAAAUGCUGAAAAGUUGUAAUAACUUAAUUGGGUCUUUUUUAUUUUUGUUUUGUGGGUUGUUUAUGGUAGGCAAAAAGAGCUGGAUAUGUUGAUGAAGGUUAAGGAAGUAAAAGGGUGUAUGGGGAAGGGGAGUGAUGUAUAGUAAUGGUUGGAAUUCUUGGAAGGUCAAGUUUAAAGAUUGAAAAUUUAAAGGUAUAAAGUGAAAAGAUUGUCUCGGAUGUAAAGUUAGAUCAUUUUAAAAUUUGGUGUUAAUGAGUUUAUGAAGGUUCAAAUGCAUGUUAACUUUCCUGUGAGAGUUGAGAGCUAUGGCAGUUUACAGUCCACUCGUUAAUCUACAAGCUCACAACCUCCAUUGCUCCUCCUCCUUCUCUCUUGCAAUGCCAUGUCUCUCCCUUCCUUACUUCUCUCUCAACUCAUAUUCUCUAGAAAUGAAGUAUUGGGGUGGAAGAAGAAAAAGAGGUGUUUGUUUGGCUUCUUCAUCACAGAAUUCAAGUAAUGAUGUUGCACGAAAAAGGAAAGUUGUGGAACAUUUAUGUUUACUGAGAGCAAAAGAAAAUUUAUCUGAUGAGCAAGAGAAAUAUAUGUUGGACAACCUUUAUACAUCUCAGUAUCAUAUGGCUGGCAUAGUGACAAUAUCUCUAGGACGGACGUCAGAUCAAAAUUCUAAAAAUUACAGCCAUGGUGUAUUCAUGCGUUUCAAGGCCUAGCAAAAUUUUAUGAGAAUCCUUUGUAUUUGCGUAUUCUCAAGGAGCAUGUUACACCUUUCUGUCAUGUAUGCACUGCAAUGAUUUGCUAUAUGUGGAUUUUGAAGCUGAAGUAGAAGAUGAUAUUCUUGCCAUUUUCCGGAAAGGAGAGGCACACCAGCGCAGCAGAACAGAAACAGCAGCACAUCAAACAGCAGAGCAGCAGGUCAGCCUGAACACACAACAACAUAUCAGCUAGCAGAGCAGCCACCAACACAAGACAGCCUGAACAGAAGCAAAACCAAUCACCCAGCCAGCUUGAACAGAGCAGAAACACAGCCACAGAAGCAGAACAAUCACAACCAUCAGAAUAGAAACACAGCCACAGCCAUCAGAGCAGAAACACAGCCUCAGCCAGCAGAGCAGCCACCAGCACAAGACCAGGACAGCUAGUUAAAUGAAAUGCAAGAAAGGUCGAUCAGAGAUAAGUCUGGAUUAUUUAAUUUUUUUUUGGACGAAAAUUGUAAUAUUACAGCCUUUUUUAAUGAAAAUAUGUAACUUUAUAUA